GCCUCUGUAGCUCAGUUGGUUAGAGCGCUGCACCGGAAUCGCAGUGCCGUAGGUUCAAUUCAAUAUUCCUGCCAGAGGAC